rnacentral:tRNA from 5 species
GGUGGUAUAGCUCAGCUGGUUAGAGCGCAGCAUUCAUAAUGCUGAUGUCCCAGGUUCAAAUCCCGGUACCACCACCA